AAAAAAAUACCUGAGACUGGGUAAUUUAUAAAGAAAAGAGGUUUAAUUGACUCAGGGUUCCACAGACUGUACAGGAAGCAUGGCAGGGGGUGG